AAGGUUGAUCUAUUUCUAAAAUAUCAUUUGAAUCCUCUGCAUCGUGAAAAAGAUCGUCAUCGUGAAGCGAAAAAUAAUCAUCAUAGUCUUCUUCCAAUCGUUUCUUCACGUUUCCAAGGAUCAUCACUUCGGAAGUUUUAUCUUCGACCAAAUAAUUGUUCGAUUUCCAUGACACGUUUGAAGUUUCUGGUGAAUUUACAUUGGAUUCAACGGGAACAGAAUUUUCAAGCGUAAUUCCUUCUUCAUCUUCUACACGGCUUUAUCAUUGAGAGGAGACGAAGAAUGCGAUGGAAAGAUGUUCAUAUUAUCAAGUUAAAUUCAAGAAAUAUUAAUUCUGGAAUAUGGAGUAUCCGAAGAAGGAAUGAAAAGGAGGCUGAUUGCAAAGGCAAGAUACGGAAAUGUGGAGGAGGGAAAUUGUUGUUGGUUGGAAAAAGAAAAUUUAUUGUAUGUAACUUAAAGACACGCAUUUUAAGACACUCGUUAAAAAACUGCCAUAAAUUAGAUUCUAGAGUAGUAAGCUAGAAAUAAAGGGUAAAAAUAUAGACAGCGAACUAAUUGUAAGCCAAGGAUAGAUAUGUGAUAAUAUGUAAAUUAAGUAGGAAAAGGUAUAUAGAUUAAGAGAAAUAAAGAUAUACAUGUCUAAUUCGUAGAUUAGAUAUAAGAGGGGACGUGUGUGAUGGUGUAAGCGUUGUAUGGGAAUAAGUGACAGUUAGAUAUAUGUAAGCCAA
rnacentral:misc_RNA from 1 species